rnacentral:rRNA from 1 species
GAUGAACGCUAGCGGCAGGCCUAACACAUGCAAGUCGAGGGAGAAGCCCUUCGGGGCAGAAACCGGCGCACGGGUGCGUAACGCGUAUGCAACCUACCUUUCACAGGGGGAUAGCCCGAAGAGAUUUGGAUUAAUACCCCAUAAUAUUAUUGGAUGGCAUCAUUUGAUAAUUAAAAUUACGAUGGUGAAAGAUGGGCAUGCGUCCUAUUAGCUAGUUGGAGUGGUAACGGCACCCCAAGGCUACGAUAGGUAGGGGUCCUGAGAGGGAGAUCCCCCACACUGGUACUGAGACAGGGACCAGACUCCUACGGGAGGCAGCAGUGAGGAAUAUUGGUCAAUGGUCGGAAGACUGAACCAGCCAUGCCGCGUGCAGGAAGAAUGCCUUAUGGGUUGUAAACUGCUUUUAUAUGGGAAGAAUAAGGAGUACGUGUACUUUGAUGACGGUACCAUA